UGGACGCUCACGCGAUCAGCAGUCUACAGCUGUUUAUUUAAGUUUUAAGAAUGGACAGAGAUAGAUUCUACUUCUUCUUCUACUUAUAAACAGAUAAAUUGAAUUGAGUGGCUUGUCGAUCAACUAGAGGAAACCGGGGAACGAAACAUGGAAAUGAAAGUCUAGAGAAAGUCAAGGCAACAAACUGACAAAAGUUCGAAAUGUCGAAAGUGUUUUGUUUUCAUGGAUUACGUACAUUUAUGUACCUUAAAAGGGCAACGAAUGGUAAAUAUAAUUAAUGCACCUUUUUUUUUAAUUAUAAUUGGACAAAGACAGGAAGAUGUGUGUGUGCAAAUUUUUCACAAAAAAACUAUUUGACUGUUGAUUGUAAACCCGAGAACGAGAAUCCGGGUCCGUCCGCCCUGAUUUCGGUUCGCCCUAGUUACUGUUCGCCCUAGUUCCGUUUCGCCCUGAGACCGUUCGCCCUGAUUUUUAUUUUUUAUUAUAGUGUUGUGUUGUGUGUAUUUAAUUGAAUAUGUUGAAGUCAGUCUACAAUUUCGCCGAAUAUUUACGAUUUUUAUUUUUUAGUAUAGUGUUGUGUUGUUAUGGUUGUGUGUAUUUAAUUAAAUAUGUUGAAUUCGGUCUACAAUUUCGCCGAAUAUUUACGAUGUAUUAUGUUGUCUACAGCUAGCUGCUUCUAGGUUAUAAGUUCAUGCCUAACAAUUUGUACAUCAGUGUUUUUACCCAUCCAAGCUGACUAUUUUGAGAAAAAUGUUAUUUUCAUUAUUAAUCCAUCAAAUUGAUUGAAGCUUAAAUUAUUAUGAGUGCAUGAAACUGAAAGGUCUACUUACAUGAAUUAACAUGUACUUAAAUGUACAUGAAAAUAUAAAAAAAACCAAGAUGUGUUUGUCAUGGUUGUCAACAAUUAUAUUUGAUUUUUGGUGUAUAAAUGCCACUUUUAAACAACGCAUUUAGGCUAUUUUAAGGCGGACAGUUUUUAUUGGUGGAGGAAGCUGGAGAAAAACCACCAACUUUCAAGAGGAAAACUGACAAUCCUAGUCAAUUAAGAUUGGAGUCAAGUGCACCCUUACUAGCAGGGUUCAAACUUACAACCUCAGUGUUGACUGGCUAGUGAUUUAAUACAGUAAUAACUACAUAGACCACUCAGCCACCGAGGCCUGCCAACAAUUAUAAGUUAAAAUACAAGUACAAAUGUAGUCCAAAUAAUUAUGAAGUCUUGAAAGCUAUUAUAAAUGUACUUAAUUUUAUUUACAUCUAUGUCACAGAAUGGCCGCUUCAAUGCAAAAAUUAAAAAUAGCCUUUCUAGACGUCAUAAUAGUUUGGACUACAUGUUCAUUUGUAUCUUACAAGUUGACUUCAACAAUGAGCCAAGUGCAUAAUGCAAAGUCAGCUUUAACAUGUUUAAAAGACGCAAAAUGUAAUGAUGUAAACAAUUCAAAUGAAGGAACUUACAGACUAAUGAUUUUUAAACAAAACAAGGAACAAAUAAACAAAUAUGAUAUAUUAGUAUAGCAACAAACUACAACAUGAACUGCUAAAUAACAGGCUUCUGACUUGGGACAGAAACAUACAGCACGUACAGGAUGUGAUGGAGUCAAACCAGUUUGUUGGUGCCAAAUUAAACCCCCUCCUAACCUUGGAUAGUGGUGUCUAGAAUUCAAAACUUGAUCUGUGUUACAAAGUGUAAAUUUUAUGUGGUUUAAUAUAAGCAUUGUGUGUAAUUUUCGUUGCAUUUGGUCAAAACAAACGGAAACUAAGAUAAGAAAAUGGAAACUAAAAUAAGAAAACGGAAACAAAAAAAAUCAGUCAUUUUUCAAUUUGUAAAAGUGAUGCCACCAAAUUAUAUGAACUCGAUCUGAAUUUAUAAAUGUGGAAAUAAGUGGUGUGUAUAAGUUUCAUAACAUUUAAUUUGGUUGAGGCAAACUAAAAUUAGAGAAAAGAACAAUAAAAAUUCAGCAAUGCAUAACUGAAGAAAGGUAAAAGAAAGUAACACCAGUGACCACCCAAUUUUUUGGGACAAACAACAAAAUGUAUGUACUGACGGAUGGACAAGGUUAAAAUUUACCCCCCCCCCAAUACGACAGGGGCAUGCAUGUAACAAAAUGCAUGUAAUAUAUUGUUUAUACUGAAGAUUGUUAUUACAGCAUCUCUAAAUAACUUCAAAGCUUUUGCUCAGACAUAUAUAUAUAUCAGUAUAUCAUGCUUUUAAAAUCACAAUGUAUUUUAAGUUAUUGUAUACAGUAGGACAUAAUGAUCAUGAUGAUCAGAGCAUGCUUUCCAGUAAUUACCAAAACUGUCUCAUAUAAAACAUGUAAUACAUUAAUACAUGUCUGUAAUAACCAUGAUAACUACAUGUAGGCCUUACAUGUUAUACAUGUACAAAUGUAACAGCUAAGUUUAAUCCCUUGAAAUCCUUUGUCUCAUUGACUAAAGAAGUUACCAUGGUUGAUUAAAAAUGUAUUCAUUUAAUUUGAAAAUUAGUUAUAAAGGCUGUGUAUUUAUUUAGUUACUGCACAUAUAAAGUUUCAAAAAUUCCCUAGUGCACACCAAAAACAACAAAUAUAUGUUACUACCGAGAAAAAUUUUAGAAACGAAGAGUAGACAACUCAUGAAAUUAUCUGGCAUAACAACAUGCAUGUUAUAUUCACUAAUAACUUAUUUAAUAUAAAAAAGAAGAUGUGGUAUGAUUGCCAAUGAGACAACUGUCCAUAUGAUAAGAGACCAAAAUGACACAGAAAUUAACAACUAUAGGGCAUCGUACGACCUUCAACAAUGAGAAAAGCCCAUACUGCAUAGUCAGCUAUAAAAGGUCCCUAAAUGACAAUAUAAAACAAUUCAAACAAGAAAACUUUUUUUUUGUACAAAAAAUGAACACAAAACAAAUAUGUAACACAUAAACAAACGACAACCACUGAGUUACAGGCUCCUGAAUAGUUAUGCCCUUGAACAUGUACAUUUGUACUGUAACUGAUGAAAAAGAUGCAAUACAUUUGCAAAUCAUAACAAACUUAUUAGGGCCCCGCCUUUAGCGGGUCGCCCUAUAUGAAGUCUUCCGUGUAACACUUUAACUUGUGUCCGUUCCAUAUAGAGAAAUUAUGAUUUCAUACUUUAUACUUUACAUGUUUAAACCAUCACCAGAGGGCGUGCAUAUGUAUGACAACUUCCUAGGUCAAAGGUCAGGUAAAAAACUUUGGUUUCAUGACAACCCUGUGUCCUGUGGUGAGAUCGUGUCGCUCUAUAUCUGAGAACCGUUAUGAUUCUAGAUAACCGUUAUGAUUUUAUACUUAAUACUUAACAUGUUUAUUAACCAAACCAGAGGGUGUGUCAUGAUGUAUUUACAACUUCCUAGGUCAAAGUUCAAGGUCAAAAACUUUGGUUUCAGUUGACAAUCCCGUGUCCUGUGGUGAAGAUCGUGUGCUCCAUACUAGAUAACCGUUAUGAUUUUAACUUAAUACUUAAACAUGUUUAUUAACCAACACCAGAGGGUGUGUCAUGAUUAUGUCUCUAGGUCAAGGUCAAGGUCAAACACUUUGGUUUCAGUUGACAACCUUGUGUCCUGUGGUGAAGAAUGGUCCGCUCCAUAUCUAGAUAACCGUUAUGAUUUCAAAGUUUAUACUUGACAUCCAUUUUAACCACCACCAGAGGGGGUGUCAUGAUGUAUGUACAACUUCCUAGGUCAAAGGUCAAGGUAAAAGAUUGGCAUUAUACAUUUGUAAAUCAUAACAAGAACUUAUUUAGUCAGAGAUCAAAUUUAACCACUUUGAUACACCAUUGAAUUCAUACAACAGGCAUAUGGAUUUAAUAAGAUGGAUUAGAACAUUUAAAUAAUUUAAUACUUUUAUAUUAUACAUGUAUAAAUGUAUAUAUUUUUUUUCAGGGCAAGUCUAGAUCUGUUGGUCUUGUUUUAAAAGAUCAAAAUAAGCCAAUUUUGCCAUAUAACAUGUAUAAAAAUAUUUAAGGCAAUUUGUUCGAUAUUUUAACUCUAUUUCAUUUUACAUUAUUUCUUUUAGCAUUUUCUAUGGAAGUACAUGUACUUCAAGAAGAAGAAGAAGCUAAGCAACAGAAUGGAAUUGUCUGAGGCAUUGCUUUCUAGAUUAUAUGAUGGAUUCAUAGAUUUUCAUAUUGAUUUAUGUGCAUAUAAAGAGCAGCCGGCAAUUAUUUUAUGACGAGAGGUAUGUACAUGUAAUAAAAAGGAUAACUUUGUUUGAAUAUUUUGUUGUUGUCAGACUAUCUACAUGUUACACAUUUUGAUUUCGUGUAAGCAUUGAAAAAAUAUUUUUUUUCUACUGGACCAUUUUAUUGAAAAUAGCAUUGGAAGCUCUAUAUACACUCCAUUGCUUGUUCUUUUUAUACGACCACAAACAAUUUUUGGGGAUUGUAUAAUGGUAAGGUGUUGUCGUUAUCUGCAGCGUCCGAAGACACAUUGGUUACCGAACAAUAACUUAGGUUUAAGUGCAUAAAUCUUUAUGAAUUUUGUUGUGAAGGCAAUACAAAAAAAGGUUGGGAUGAUUUUGGGGAUGAUGGUCGGAAGUCUCAACCGUUUAGGAAUUAGGGGCCCAAAAUGGGCCAAAAACAAGCAUUUUUCUAGUUUCAGGAUAAUAAGUUGUUUAUAAGUAUUUCAAUUGCUCUGAAAUUGUACCACAAUGUUUAAAACCACAAGUAACAGGUUUGUAUUCAGUUUAGGGGUUCUGGGGCCAAAGUUUAGGAAUAAGGGGCCAAAAACAAGCAUUUUUCUAGUUUCCAGACAAUAACUUGUGUGUAAUUGUAUAGAUCUCUCUGAAAUUGUACCACAAUGUUCCAUAUAACAAAGGGAAGGCUGGGAUAGAGUUUUGGGUUAGUUGCCCAAAAUAUGUCGGAAUUAGGGGCCAAAAAGAAGCAUGUUUCUAGUUUCCAGACAAUAACUUGUGUUUAAGUGACUCAUAGGCGGAUUAAGAGGGGAGGCCCAGGCGACCCUGCCCCCCCCCUCUUUUCUGGGAAAAUUUUGGUUGAUUAUAUAGGGAAACACUGAAGCAUGUCCGGAUCAGUCCCCCUCUUAGGCAGUCACUGGGCCCCCACAUAUGAAAAUUUCUGGAUCCGCCAUCGAGUGUAUGGAUCUCUCUGAAAUUGUACUACAAGGUUCCAUACUACAAAAGAAAGGAUGGGAUUGAGUUUUAGGGUUAUUGCUCCAAGGGGGAUUUCAAUAAGUUGAGGGGGGGAUAGUUUGUUUACAACUUUUUUAAGGGAUUCCUUUUUUUUUUCAAAAAUUUUUCAAAUUUUUGAUUUUUGAAAAGUUUCAUGCAAUAAUGUUCAGCAAAGUAAGAUCUACAAUGGUCAACAUAACCAAAAUUUUCAAUGGACCCCUUAAGCAGUUGUUGCCCUUUAUAGUCAAUUUUUAACAACUUUCUCGUAAAUUUUGCAAUCUUUUCCUCUUUUGUGUUUUGAGCAAGAACUAAAGAAGAUAAAGAGAAACUUAACAGGCUAUUAAUAAAAUAUGUUUACAGGAGUUUUGCCUCUUGGAAAUAGAUAUUGAAUUUGUAAGGAAAAUUGCAUCCCACACAUGUCUACUUUUCUUGUAGAUUAUUUUUAUAAUUUAUGAAAAAUGUUAAAAAAAGAACAUACUUAUUUGUUGUGGUUAUUGCUUUUUGACAGCAAAUUUUAUAUAUCCAUCAAUUGGUGAGGUACAUUGAAACACUGUUCUUUUAUUAAAUGCAUGAAGUAUACAGAUGGUAACACAAAUGACAACAUGUUAUGUUCAUGAGUUUAAUAUUUAUAUAUAAAUGUUGUAUUUCAACAAUUUUGCCUAUGAAACAGCAAAUCAAGAUUUAAUAAACCGGAGUUAAUGCCUAAAUGGAUUUUUUUAAACUUAGGCAGAAGAAUAGUUUAUUAUAUAUAUACAUGAUGAUAUAUGAGAAAGUUCAUGCUAUACAUAUAUUUGUUGAUUGUUUAUAAAUUGUUUCCAUUAACUCAAAAGUAAAAGUAUUAAUUAGUGAGCAUCAGUUCAUACUACAUGUACAUUUAGUUUUUGUCUGGACUUUUGGAUUAACUUAAAAUUUAUAAUUUUAGCUUGUUACCAAAUGAAAGGAAAGUGCAGUAUUAGAAUUACUGAGGUACAUGUUACGGUGUACAUGUACAUGUAGGUGCAGAUGUCCUGUAAAAAAAAACUGGUAUCAAAGUAAGUUCAUAUGUAGAAUUGUAUUUGAUUUAAAUAAUUUAAUGUUAUCUAUUCAAAACUUUUUCAAGUGUAAUUGUACAUGUAUACAGUUGUUUAUUUUUCUGUCUUUUUGAUGUCAAGUAUGCAUCGAGGAAUCCUUACCAGUCUCAUCUGCUUCUGCUGCACACGCAUGAGAAAUGAGAAGCUCAAAUAAUUAUAGCAUUUGCAUCACAGACCGUAUAUUAUGAAUUGUAUAUUUAACAUGAUCAAAAGUUGUUCUUGUCUUUGAAUAUAUACAUUAAAUAUUUGCCACUGUACAUUAAAAUAAACAAGAAAAAUUAAUUUGAUAAUUUUCUUUUAACCGUAGAGCGUUUUUAAAGAACUAGAAUAUUGAUAUAAGGAGAUGGUGUAUGAUCCUCAAUGUGACAAAAAACUAAAGAACGAAGAUAAAACAUUUACUGGUCACUGUUCAGCAAUGAACAAUAAUCAAAAUCCAUACCAUAAAGUAACCUUCAACUUGUUUAAGGAUGCAAAAUGUGAACCAUUGAAAAAUUAAAACUACAUAUUGUAUGGCAGACAUUAAUUAAUAUGUUUAUAGAAUGAUUGUAAGGUGUUUAUAUUUGUCUUGCAGGUGCAAUUCUUGCCAGAUUUUUAUAAAACUUAUACUAUACUUUAAUAUCAGCAAUAUCUUGGUCAAGUUCACUACUUUUGACCGAUUGACUAUUUUCAAAAGAGUUAUGCCCCUUGAAAAUAUUAAAUAAAGGAAAAUGGCCUUGUAAGCGCUCUCAUCGGUUCAAUUUUUUAUAAAACACAUAGUAUACUGUAAGUAAUGCCCUUGAAGGUCUGUUUGAAAUAUUUCGUAUACAAGAAAAAGAACUUUUUUUCCAAGCACACUUUUUUAUUUAUAAUUUUAUUCAAGUGCCUUUUUUUAAUUAUUGCCCCUUGCUAGAUAAAAUAUGUGCAACUCAGUGGACAUUGAAACUCUGUUCUGUUAUUUUUAUUUUCAGGAACUGAAAAGUAAAGAAACAGAACCAAAGAACAUUCAUUUUAAAUUAAUACAAUAUUGAACUCAAAAGUCAAUCUAGUUGUCUUUCUUAAUUAUAGAUAUAAGAAGAUGUGGUAUUAGUGCCAAUGAAACAACUCUCCAUCCAGGUCAUAAUUUGUAAAAGUAAACCAUUACAGGUCAAAAUACAGUUUUCAAAACAGAGCUCACACGAAACAGCAAGCCAUUAAGGGCCACAAAAGCGGCAGCAUACACUAGCACCUGUAAUAGCUAGCAGUGUAGACAAUUACAAUGUACAUAUCAAUGUGUAUGGUGAUAUAGCAAUAGAAAUAUCACAUCCAUCAGAGGGAAAUAGAAUAUAGACAAUAGAAAUAUCACAUACAUCAGAGGGAAAUAGAAUAUAUAGACAAUAGAAAUAUCACAUACAUCAGAGGGAAAUAGAAUAUAGACAAUAGAAAUAUCACAUACAUCAGAUUAGAAUAGAUUAUCAACAAUAGAAAUGGUGUAUGUCACAGAGACAAACAUAUGAAAAUAGAAUAUAGACAAUAAAAAUUUGAUAUGUCAUAGAGAUGAAAAUAGAAAUAUAGACAAUAGAAUUAGGGUAUGUCAAAGAGGCAAACAUAGAAUGGGAUAUGUCAAAGAGACAAAACCAUGAAAAUAGAAUAUAGACAAUAGAAAUGGGAUAUGUCAAAGAGACAAACAUAUGAAAAUAGAACAUAGAGAAUAGAAAUG
rnacentral:lncRNA from 1 species